GAUGAAGAACGUAGCGAAAUGCGAUAAGUAAUGUGAAUUGCAGAAUUCAGUGAAUCAUCGAAUCUUUGAACGCACAUUGCGCCCGCCAGUAUUCUGGCGGGCAUGCCUGUUCGAGCGUCAUUUCAACCAUCAAGCCCUGCUUGCGUUGGGGUCCUGCGGCUGCCCGCAGGCCCUGAAAACCAGUGGCGGGCUCGCUAGUCACACCGAGCGCAGUAAUACAUCUCGCUUUGGGCGUGCGGCGGGUUCUUGCCGUUAAACACCCCCUUUUUACCAAGGUUGACCUCGGAUCAGGUAGGAAUACCCGCUGAACUUAAGCAUCUCAAUAAGCGGAGGA
rnacentral:misc_RNA from 1 species